rnacentral:rRNA from 1 species
AGUGAACGCUGGCGGUAGGCCUAACACAUGCAAGUCGAACGGCAGCACAGGAGAGCUUGCUCUCUGGGUGGCGAGUGGCGGACGGGUGAGGAAUACAUCGGGAUCUACUCUGUCGUGGGGGAUAACGUAGGGAAACUUACGCUAAUACCGCAUACGACCUACGGGUGAAAGCAGGGGACCUUCGGGCCUUGCGCGAUUGAAUGAGCCGAUGUCGGAUUAGCUAGUUUGCGGGGUAAAGGCCCACCAAGGCGACGAUCCGUAGCUGGUCUGCAAGGAUGAUCAGCCACACGGGAACUGAGACACGGGCCAGACGCCUACGGGAGGCAGCAGUGGGGAAUAUUGGACAAUGGGCGCAAGCCUGAUCCAGCCAUACCGCGUGGGUGAAGAAGGCCUUCGGGUUGUAAAGCCCUUUUGUUGGGAAAGAAAUCCAGCUGGCUAAUACCCGGUUGGGAUGACGGUACCCAAAGAAUAAGCACCGGCUAACUUCGUGCCAGCCGCCGCCGUAA